rnacentral:rRNA from 1 species
AACGCGAAGRACCUUACCUACCCUUGACAWGGUMGRAAUCCUGGAGAGAUCUGGGAGUGCUCGAAAGAGAACCGAUACACAGGUGCUGCAUGGCUGUCGUCAGCUCGUGUCGUGAGAUGUUGGGUUAAGUCCCGCAACGAGCGCAACCCUUGUCCUUAGUUGCUACGCAAGAGCACUCUAGGGAGACUGCCGKUKACAAACCGGAGGAAGGUGGGGAUGACGUCAAGUCCUCAUGGCCCUUAUGGGUAGGGCUUCACACGUCAUACAAUKKUCSSUYUUAGGGUCSCCACCCGCGAGGGGGAGCUAAUCCC